rnacentral:rRNA from 1 species
AUCGAACGCUGGCGGCAGGCCUAACACAUGCAAGUCGAACGAGUGGCGGACGGGUGUGUUAUGUCUGGGACACUGCCUGCUGGAGGGGGAUAACUACUGGAAACGGUAGCUAAUACCGCAUACCAUCAGAUGUGCCCAGCUGGGAUUAGCUUGUUGGUGGGGGAACGGGGCACCAAGGCGACGAUCCCUAGCUGGCCUGGGAGGAUGACCAGCCACAUCGGAACUAGGGGACGGUCCAGACUCCUACGGGACGCAGGAGGGGGGGAUCUUGCACAAAGGGCGCAAUGCUGGAGCGGCCAAUCCGGGUGUAUGGAGAAGGCCUUGAAGUUGGAAAGUUCGUUCAGCGGGGAGGCGUUACCCGCAGAAGAAGCACCGGCUAACUCCGUGCCAGCAGCCGCGGUAAUAC